AUUUUUCACAUCUCCAUUAUCAUUUCAUUAUUCAUUUCUGUCUUACAUAAUCUGCAGCUUAGUCAAUUCUUUUGGUUUUAAGGUGGGAAGACCUGCCUGUGUCUGUAUCCCUGGGGCUCCUCUAAACCUGCCGGUUUGUGAGAUGAUUUCAUGGUUUCUUUUACAUGUAUCAAAUGUCUACCCUACAAAGAACUGGAUGGAGUUAACAGCUGAGCAAAGAUUAGAGAGGAACCUACUUUCAUUUGGGAAAAACAGGACCAUACCAUGUGUACAAGACAGAAAUUUCUACAGAUGCUUUAUGAAAGAAAAAAUAUCUUACCAAAGUUACUACUGCACAUUCAGCAGUUAGCAGUGCGGCACUAAAAAGAGUACGAACAAAUCUGUAAAUGAAUUCGUGUUCAGGAUCAUGCUCGAAGUAUUCCUCUGGAAUCUUUUCUCGCUGAAAGGAGAAAAAAUGCAAUUUAAGUAUCCAUGGAAGAAAAAUACUUAAAAGUACCCUUAAGAUAGCAGUCUUCACACUUGGGCCCACGUGCCCCUUAAAAUAAUUUUGAUUGGGUGACAUGUCUUGUAGUCUUUUAAAUAUAAACAAUGGGAUCCUAAAAUACCACAGUGAUCCAGUAUUCACCACCAUUCAUUAAAGAAAAAUACAGGCACAACCGCAGAGAAUUUAUGUAUUUCCACGUUCCUCCCCACAGAAUUCUAACCAAAUGUAAACUAUUGGGUUGGCCAAAAAGUUCAUUUGGUUUUAAGUACAAAUAAAAGACACAGUUUUCAUUUUCACCAAGCAUUUUAUUGAACAAUAUAUUCACUAACCAAACAAACUUUUUGGCCAACCCAAUAUUUUUAGGCUCAGAAGUCUUGCUGAUCACCAUAUGUCAUACUUUUCUGUCAUCAACUUUGAAAACACAUUCCCAGUGUCCUGUAACCAUAGGGCUCUAAGAAUGCGCUGUCCUGUACAGCAGUCGCCAGCCACGUGUGGCUACAGAGCACCCGAAGAAGUGAAUUUUAAAACUUUGUCAUUUUAAUUCGUUUAAAAUUUAAACAGUUUUCUAAUUUUCUUCUUACAGGCCUUAUCAUAUUAGGUUUAUUUACAAAUAUUUAUAUUGUUUGAUGCUAGGGAAAAUCAUCCUUUAAAAAGAUACAUUUUCUGUUACUUGGGUAUGUUUACUUACCUGCUCACUAUUCAUACAAAGUGCAACUCGGUUCAUAUCCAUCAACCCCUUAGACAACACGCCUUCGGGAAAAUGACUAGACACAACAUGGCGUGGGGAAGAAGACUUAAAGGAAGAUGAAUUUGACUUCGAGCUGGAGGAAGUAAUUUUCUUCUAGUAAUUAAUUUCAAAGCAAAUCAGCGUGAAAUAAACACAACUGUAUAAGAGAAAAAUACAACUUCAAUAAAACUGACACUUACUGUGAA